rnacentral:rRNA from 1 species
GCUCAGAUUGAACGCUGGCGGCAGGCCUAACACAUGCAAGUCGAGCGGCAGCGGGACCUUCGGGUUGCCGGCGAGCGGCGGACGGGUGAGUAAUGCCUAGGAAUCUGCCUGUUAGUGGGGGAUAACGCGGGGAAACUCGCGCUAAUACCGCAUACGUCCUACGGGAGAAAGUGGGGGACCUUCGGGCCUCACGCUAACAGAUGAGCCUAGGUCGGAUUAGCUAGUUGGUGGGGUAACGGCCCACCAAGGCGACGAUCCGUAACUGGUCUGAGAGGAUGAUCAGUCACACUGGAACUGAGACACGGUCCAGACUCCUACGGGAGGCAGCAGUGGGGAAUAUUGGACAAUGGGCGAAAGCCUGAUCCAGCCAUGCCGCGUGUGUGAAGAAGGUCUUCGGAUUGUAAAGCACUUUAAGCCGGGAGGAAGGGCUGUAGGCGAAUACCCUGCAGUCUUGACGUUACCGGCAGAAUAAGCACCGGCUAACUUCGUGCCAGCAGCCGCGGUAAUACGAAGGGUGCAAGCGUUAAUCGGAAUUACUGGGCGUAAAGCGCGCGUAGGUGGUUUGGUAAGUUGGAUGUGAAAGCCCCGGGCUCAACCUGGGAACUGCAUCCAAAACUGCCUGGCUAGAGUACGGUAGAGGGUGGUGGAAUUUCCUGUGUAGCGGUGAAAUGCGUAGAUAUAGGAAGGAACACCAGUGGCGAAGGCGACCACCUGGACUGAUACUGACACUGAGGUGCGAAAGCGUGGGGAGCAAACAGGAUUAGAUACCCUGGUAGUCCACGCCGUAAACGAUGUCGACUAGCCGUUGGGCUCCUUGAGAGCUUAGUGGCGCAGCUAACGCAUUAAGUCGACCGC